CAAAACCUACUAAUUCAGAAUUGCUGGGUGUGGGGCCAAUAAAUCUGUGUUUCACCGAGGCAUCACGUGAUUCUGAUGCACGUUAGGUUUGAGAACAUUGGAUUAGAGAAACGAAGCGACCUCUUUCAUUAUAACAGAAGGGAAGGGGAAAAAGAUAAAAUGUAGGAAAAUUAGCCCUGAGCUAACAUCCGCUGCCAAUCCUCCUCUUUUUGCUGAGGAAGACUGGCCCUGAGCUAGCAUCUGUGCCCAUCUUCCUCUAUGUUAUAUGUGGGAUGCCUGCCACAGCAUGGCUUGCCAAGCAGUGCAUAUGUCUGGACCCGGGAUUUGAACCGAUGAACCCCAGGCCUCCGAAGCAUAACCUGUGAAUUUAACUGCUGUGCCACCAGGAGGGGAUUGUCCAGGUGCUUGUCCUUGACGGUGUCUGUCUCCAUGGAGGAUAGUGGAUUCUGGAGCCAGGAAGCCAGAGAUCUUGCUGCCAACUGAACUGAGGAGAAGAGAAUUGGAGGAGGAAGACAGAUGGCUCACAGAAUUCCAAUAUUAUCCUAAACAAAUCCAUAAUCAUGCCUCUGAAUUAGGAGAACGGAGAUUCCAUGGGGAAUAUCCUGGGCCUGAAAAAUGGUUCAUAUUUCAGACCAUAUCUAGGGGGUGGAGUAGAGUAUGUGUAGAAGAGAGAAAAAGAGUGAAACAAAAAUAGAAACCCGUGGGGGGUGGGGAGUGACUAAUGUACAGUAAUGCAGAAACUAAUUAUGUAUGCUUGGGCUAAUGGAGCUAAACAAAGAUAACUUUGAAAAGAUGUGGGAUAUUACAGAAAAUUUAGCUAAACUACUUGAAAUGCAAUUAG
rnacentral:lncRNA from 1 species